CCCCCUAGGAACCAGACUGGUUGGAGCAGCUUGAGUAGCAGUUGUUCCAGCCAGUAAGACCAAAAGAGGAAGUUACAGGCAGGGGAGGAGGGGCUGGAGGAAGCUCCCUAUUCUGAAGGUUUCCCUUGCUGCUGAGGAAACUGACCAGAAAGGUUAUCCUGGACUUUGAACUGCUUGUGGAAGGGCCUUCUGAACAUGGAAAUAAUCUUGUCAUGCUUAUAGCAUUUGCCUUUGCAGACAAUCAAACAUGGACCUGGCUUUUCUAGUAGCACAUCCAGUCUCCACACUGACUCCACCUGAAGGAUUUACCACCACUGACAUACACGAACAACUGUAGAACCAGAACAGGCUAUGCUGUACUCCACACAGCCAGCUUCUUGCAAUCAGCAUGGGGGUGAGGGUGGGGGCCCUAUGUGAAGAUGAAGCUGUCUCUUUCAGGAACACUGCCUGAAUGACGGCACCUAGGCAUUAACAAAGGCAGCUACCAUGCAGGUAUUCUCUUAAUAGCUUGCACAAGACCACAAAGUGAAUGUAAAUGCCAUCUGAAUUUUGCUGCACUGCUUUUUGCUUCCCCUGCU